rnacentral:rRNA from 1 species
CCCUUAGAUGUUCUGGGCGGCCCGCGCACUACAAUGGCGCUUUCAGCGAGUUCCUAUGUUGAAUUUUCCUUGGUAUUCUUGGAAGCGGCGUCUUGACUUGGGAUAGAUCCUUGUAAUUGUUGGUUUUGAACGAGGAAUUCCUUGUAAUCGCGGUUGAUCAGCUCGCGUUGAAUACGUCCCUGCCCUUUGUACACACCGCCCGUCGCUCCUACCGAUUGAGUGGUCCGGUGAGGCUUUGGGAUCUGAGCGGAAAGAGCGUUUCGCUGUUUCUGCUCGGAAAACUCAGUCGAACCUUAUCAUUUAGAGGAAGGAGAAGUCGUAACA